AUGGCGAAACUUAGCUGCAGGAGCCUGGUGCGCUGUUGUUUGGGCCCUCCACGGGAAGGGGAAGCCGGCGACGCCAUGGACGGUGUUAAGCUCAAGGUCACCAGCAGAUACGUUAUAAUUAAAAAUGACGUAUUCGAGCUGACGCUGUCCAACCCCGACGGUAUUGUAACUGGCGUGCGCUACAACGGUGUGGACAAUCUUAUGGAGAUUCUUAACAAAGAAGACAACCGAGGGUACUGGGACAUUGUUUGGAAUUCACCAGGACAGCGAACUGGAAUAUUUGAUGUGAUCAAAGGCACAGAGUUCCGCAUCAUACAUCAUGAUGAAAACCAGGCUGAGGUCUCCUUCACCAGAUCAUGGGAUCCUUCGCAGGAAGGGAAAGCUGUUCCGCUCAUCAUCGACAAGAGGUUCAUCGUGCUUCGCGGCUCCUCGGGAUUCUACACCUACGGAAUCUAUGAGCACAAGGAAGGGUGGCCUGAUUUUGGCAUUGGGGAGACCAGAGUGGCCUUCAAACUUAGAAAAGACAAGUUCCAGUACAUGGCAAUGGCUGACAACAGGCAGAGAAUAAUGCCGAUGCCUGAUGACCGGUUGCCUCCCCGCGGCCAGCAAUUAGCAUACCCUGAGGCUGUCCUGCUUGUGGACCCAAUUAAUCCUAAACUCAGAGGGGAGGUCGACGACAAGUACCAAUACUCGUGUGAAGACCGAUACAAUAGUGUCCAUGGAUGGGUGUCAUCUGAUCCUCCGAUUGGCUUCUGGCAAAUCACGCCCAGCGACGAGUUCCGUACUGGAGGACCUCUGAAGCAGAACUUGACAUCUCAUGUCGGGCCCACUAUGCUCGCUAUGUUUCUUAGCGCUCAUUAUGCUGGAGAUGACCUUUCGCCCAAGUUCACGAAUGGAGAAUAUUGGAAAAAGGUUCAUGGACCGGUGUUCAUGUACCUUAACUCCAGUCAGGACGGAUCAGACCCAAGUCUACUAUGGGAGGAUGCAAAAGUUCAGGUGAUGAUGGAGAAACAGAGCUGGCCCUAUGAUUUUGCACUUUCAGAGGAUUUCCAGAAGACUGAGCAAAGAGGUUGUAUCUCUGGUAGAUUGCUUGUAAGAGACAGGUAUAUUAUAGAGGAUGAGGAUCUUUAUGCCGCAUCAGCCUAUGUAGGCUUAGCAUUACCAGGAGAGGCUGGAUCAUGGCAAAGAGAGUGCAAGGGGUACCAAUUCUGGUGUCAAGCAGAUGCAGAUGGUAGCUUCUACAUAAAGAACAUUGUAACUGGAAACUACAACCUAUAUGCGUGGGUUCCGGGUUUCAUCGGGGACUACAGAUUCGACGCCACACUAACAAUUUCUUCAGGGGACGAUAUCUAUCUGGGUGACCUCGUGUUCGAGCCACCGAGAGACGGCCCUACCAUGUGGGAGAUCGGAAUACCCGAUAGGUCUGCUGCCGAGUUCUACGUUCCAGACCCCAACCCCAACUAUGUCAACAGACUCUUCAUCAAUCAUCCUGACAGGUUCAGGCAGUAUGGGCUUUGGGAGAGAUACGCAGAGCUGUAUCCGGACCGUGAUCUGGUGUACACCAUCGGCGAAAGCAACUACAGCACUGAUUGGUUCUACGCUCAAGUUACCAGAAGAAGUGAUGGGGAUACGUACCAGCCCACCACAUGGCAGAUAAGGUUCAGCCUCGACGCCGUCCCUCCCAACAGCACGUACAAGUUCCGGGUGGCGCUCGCGUCUUCAGCCAACGCUGAACUGCAGGUCCGUUUCAACGACGAGGCACGGGCUGUGCCUCACUUCACCACGGGGCUCAUCGGGCGCGACAACGCGAUCGCGAGGCACGGGAUCCAUGGCCUCUACUGGCUCUUCAACGUGGGUGUGAGUGGAGCCUGGCUUGUCCGAGGGAUCAACACCAUCUAUCUGAAGCAGCCCAGGAACCAGAGCCCGUUCCAGGGGGUCAUGUACGACUACCUGCGUCUGGAAGGACCCUGUGCUGUGCCUGCCGCUAACUCAGGCCCAAAAGCUAAUUGA
rnacentral:rRNA from 1 species